rnacentral:rRNA from 1 species
GGGAUGCCUUAACAUGCAAGUCGAGCGGCAGCGCGGGGGCAACCUGGCGGCGAGCGGCGCACGGGUGAGUAAUGCAUCGGAACGUGUCCUCUUGUGGGGGAUAACCAGUCGAAAGACUGGCUAAUACCGCAUGAGAUCGAGAGAUGAAAGCAGGGGACCCGCAAGGGCCUUGCGCGAGAGGAGCGGCCGAUGCCCGAUUAGCUAGUUGGUGGGGUAAAAGCCUACCAAGGCGACGAUCGGUAGCUGGUUUGAGAGAACGAACAGCCACACUGGGACUGAGACACUGGCCCAGACUCCUACGGGAGGCAGCAGUGGGGAAUUUUGGACAAUGGGGGCAAGCCUGAUCCAGCCAUGCCGCGAUUGUGUGAAGAAGGCCUUCAGGGUUGUAAAGCAACUUUCGGCCGGAACGAAAUCGCCACUGGUGAAAUAUCCAGUGUGGAUGACGGGGUACCGGAAGAAGAAGAACCGGGUUAACUAAGUGCCAAGAAGCCGAGGUAAUACGGU